UAACAGAGAUCAUAAAAGCAGAAAAAGACAGCAAGGUUCUGGAGGGAUUUGCAGUUCUCCUUGUAACUGAGCUGUCUGAUUCAAAGAAUCAGUUUUAUGGUGAAGCACAGAC